CCACGCGCGCCCUCAGCCUCCAGCAUCCCGCACCUACUCUCAGGCAUCCCGGAACUCUAGGACUGUGUGGAGAGAGCCGGCCUAGUCCCCAGUCCAUCUUCCUAGCGGUUACCUUCUUUCACUCCUGACACGGAGAAGGGAACGUUCUUGGUGCCAGGAAGAUAAACCCGGGCCUCUGGGAGUCAGGCCUCCCAGGCGUCUCUCAGCAACGGAGGACUCUUACUUACGCGUCCCUGGACAGCAAGACUGAGGAACUCUCCUGAGAGGACUUCCCUGGUGGCUCAGAUGGUAAAGCAUCUGCCUGCAAUGCGGGAGACCUGGGUUUAAUCCCUGGGUCGGGAAGAUCUCCUGGAGAAGGAAAUGGCAACCCAUUCCAGUAUUCUUUCCUGGAACAUCCCAUGGACAGAGGAGCCUGGUAGGCUACAGUCCAUUGGAUUGCAGAGUUGGACAUGACCCAGCGACUUCACUUUCACUUUUCAGAAUGGGUACCAAGUGUGAAGAUAACUUUUGUCAUAAGCAAAUGCCCCGGAAAAGUCCUCUGCUGUAGAGGAAGCUUCAAUAACCAGGCUAACGAGCUCCUCACCGUGCUAUGAGGAACAUCACCUAGACAAAUAACAGAACUUGGGGAGCUACCCCACGUCCGAGGUCAGGGGUGGUGGCCAAGAAGAGCAACCCCACGUCCAAGGAGAGGUGGCUGCACGGGCGCAGGACGACCGAGAGGAGCUACUCCACAUUCAGGGUCAGGAGGGGUGACAUCGUCCAACGUAAGGAGCAGCGGCUGUGCUUUGAUGUAGCAGCUGUGAAGAGAUACCCUACAUCCAAGAAAUAGCUGCUGCUGCUGCUGCUAAGUCACUUCAGUCGUGUCCGACUCUAUGUGGCACCACAGAUGGCAGCCCACCAGGCUCCCCCGUCCCUGGGACUCUCCAGGCAAGAACACUGGAGUGGGUUGCCAUUUCCUUCUCCAGUGCAUGAAAGUGAAAAGUGAAGUCGCUCAGUCGUGUCCGACUCUUCAUGACCCCAUGGACUGCAGCCCACCAAGCUCCUCCGUCCAUGGCAUUUUCCAGGCAAGAGUACUGGAGUGGGGUGCCAUCGCCUUCUCCAGGUAGAAAUAGCUAAUAGGAACUAUAAAGCUUGUUUGCUGAUGAAAGAAAUGAAU
ensembl:lncRNA